rnacentral:rRNA from 1 species
GAUGAACGCUGGCGGUAUGCUUAACACAUGCAAGUCGAACGGACUCUUCGGAGUUAGUGGCGGACGGGUGAGUAACGCGUGAGAAUCUGGCUUUGGGUUCGGGACAACCACUGGAAACGGUGGCUAAUACCGGAUGUGCCGAGAGGUAAAAGAGAAAUUGCCUGAAGAUGAGCUCGCGUCUGAUUAGCUAGUUGGUGAGGUAAAGGCUCACCAAGGCAGCGAUCAGUAGCUGGUCUGAGAGGAUGACCAGCCACACUGGGACUGAGACACGGCCCAGACGACUACGGGGGGCAGCAGUGGGGAAUUUUCCGCAAUGGGCGAAAGCCUGACGGAGCAAUACCGCGUGAGGGAAGAAGGCUCUUGGGUUGUAAACCUCUUUUCUUAGGGAAGAACAAAAUGACGGUACCUAAGGAAUCAGCAUCGGCUAACUCCGUG